UCAGGAUGAACGCUGGCGGCGUGCUUAACACAUGCAAGUCGAGCGGAGAUUUUUAGAAAGCUUGCUUUUUAAAAANCUUAGCGGCGGACGGGUGAGUAACGUGUGGGCAACCUGCCUCAUACAGUGGAAUAAUCACUGGAAACGACUGCUAAUACCGCAUAAUGUAUUCGGACCGCAUGAUCUGAAUACCAAAGCUUUAUGUGCUGAGAGAUGGCCUCGCGUCUGAUUAGCUAGUUGGUGGGGUAACGGCCCACCAAGGCGACGAUCAGUAGCCGGUCUGAGAGGUUGAUCGGCCACAUUGGGACUGAGACACGGCCCAGACUCCUACGGGAGGCAGCAGUGGGGAAUAUUGCACAAUGGAGGAAACUCUGAUGCAGCGACGCCGCGUGAGGGAAGAAGGUAUUCGUAUUGUAAACCUCUGUCUUCGGGGACGAUAAUGACGGUACCCGAGGAGGAAGCACCGGCUAACUACGUG
rnacentral:rRNA from 1 species